rnacentral:misc_RNA from 1 species
CCGAACCGUCGACACGAGCUGUUGCUGGCCCUCGAAUGGGGGCACGUGCACGCUCUGUUUACACAUCCACUCACACCUGUGCACCCUCUGUAGUUCUAUGGCCUUGGGGACCCUGUCUCCUUGCCGUGGUCCUACGUCUUUACACACACACCGUAACAAAGUCUCAUGGAAUGUACGCCGCGUUUAACGCGAUACAAUA